rnacentral:lncRNA from 1 species
GUGACUCACAGCUAAUUCCGCCGGCAGCAGGAACCGGCUCAGCCAGCCUGGACUCCGGGCCAAUUCCUCUGGCGAUAGCAUCAAAGCCCAAAGGGAAACAAAAACAAAUCCGGGCCUGAGCAAAGCAGGGCUCUGAUUAUCUUUCCCUCCCGGCCAGGCGGUGCCAGGAGGGCGCGGGCUGCACCCAGGUUUCCUCACCGUUCUUUCCCAGCAUCCUUAGCAUACAGUAGGUGCUCAGCAAACGGCUGCAGGAUGCAGGAUCGUCUUCCGGUUGCUGUCAGCGCCAGGGCAGAGAACAGACGGGGGCACUGAGCCACAGCUCACCUCAGAAGCAGCUGGACCAGAAGAUGAACUUGGGCUGUUCGGCGCCUGCCGUGUAAAGAAUGACCAGAAUGGCCCCACCUGCACCUGUACCCCAGGACUCUCGGGAGACGGCGGGAGGUGAGCAAGCCAAGCGGGCACAGCUCCUGGAGGCCACAGAUGCUGAACACAAGUCCUGGGCUGCAGAGACAAGGACGUGGCCGGCAGAGGCCGAGGGGAUGCAGCUCUGUGUUCUCCGAACAGGGGUGCUAUGAGCCUUGGGAAGGCAUCACCGCCUCUGUUCCAGCAGGCACCUCCAGAAACCCGUCCAUCCAGACAGGGACUGCGUGGCGGGGAGCUCAUCCCUCCCACACUCCGAGCCCAGCCCAGAAACUGGGUGAGCAGGGAGCUUGCACUGUGCACCCAGGACUGAGUUUGUUUUGUGUGUGGGACACACCUGGCACACCCAAGCCCGAAGGUGGCCUCCCACUCACCAGCCAGGAGCCCCAGUGGCCAGCGUGCUGGGGAACAGAGCCAAAGUCAGGCGGCCUUUCUCCGGGGGUUCUGUGACCCGGCCGGCCAAUGGGAACAAUACCUGGGAGGAAAAGAAAACCGGGAAGCACCCAGAAGCCACCUACAUGCCUGAUAAAUGAUGGCAGGGCGGGGCAGCCUCACGUGAUCUGGGAGACUGCAGGAGCAGGGUCAUCCCACGCUGAAAGUGACAGAGCAACACACAGACCACCCACUCUGCGCAAGUGGGGCGGCUUCAAGUCUGGAAGGCUGUCGCAUCCCGAGUCCCGGGUCCCAAGGAGGCGGCUCUGGCAACGUCACUUCCAUCUCUGUGCAUUUCCUGCAAUGCGCAUGCUGCACUGUGAUCAGAGGAGCGCGUUCUGCCUUGGUGCCUGGCGGUCAGGGCCCUAUGACAACGGUGUCCCCAAAGGACAGGCCGCUGCACUGUUUUUGGAUCCAGCAGAUCCAAGACCUGUGGCCCCACCUGGGGCCCCCCCCGGAAGCCAACAUUCACUCCACAAGCCUGUUUUGGCACCAUCUGGAAUCCUCAGAGGCUCCAUGUGUCCCCAGUGCUGCCCAGGACCACGGCUCCUACCAGGCAGGCAGCGGAGGACGCCCUGCUGGCACCGAGCGGCAUGAUGGCCCUGGAGGGAC